rnacentral:lncRNA from 1 species
CUUUAUACAAAUUUCUGCAAAGUUCCAGAGAAUUGCCUUUACCAAUGAAUGUUUCCUAAAAUGUGUUGUCUAUUCAUUAUCUCUUCCUUUCUUCUCUACAUCUACUAUUAGUAAGAGUUCUAAUAUAAGAGUGCUGCAAUGAUGAUAUAUAAAUGACAACUCAAUUGAACAAAACUAUUCAAUAAAAUGAAUUUGCAUUUAAAUAUCAUAUUUUAAGAGAUAAAAAAGUUUAUGAUAAUAAAAUGGGAAUGCAGUCUACUACAGGGAAAAUAACUAGGACUUAGAAUCUGUAACAACCAGAGACUGAAUCCUGCCAAUUACUUUAUCAGAGGCUUUGGGCUAAUUACCUCAACUUUCUUUCCUGAACCUCAGGUUAGUCAUCUGUAAAAAAACAAAAAUAAAAAAAUUUUAAUAACGACAUGCAAUAUUUUCAAUAUGCAAAAUUAUAAGUUUAGGAAAAAAUUGAUUUGAAUUGUUUAGGAAGAUCUAUUUUUCUACAAUUGUGGUAAAACAAUUUAAAUAAGACAAGAGCAUAUGUAUGACAUAGGUGUAAUAAUGCAUAUCCCAAAAAUUCAUUUGAAAAAUAUUUGAUGAACCAUUUGUAUGUAUAACACACUCUUCUUAAAAUCUAGAGAUAUGACAGAGCAAGAUAUGGUCCCUGACUCAUGGAUCUUACAUUAGUAUUGGAAAGAAGCCUAUUAAACUCUCCAUCCUAUCAGCUUCAAUUUCAGCUAUUAGCUUUACUUUCUACUGUCUUUUUCAAGUCAAGAUCAAAUGGAGAGCAAAGGGAGUGCACCUUUCCUCUGCAGUUCCAUCACUGUUCAACAUAAUCAUCUCUACCUACAUUUCAGAACAAUUCUGAAUAUUAAUAAGACAAUGUCUAUGAGAUGAGCUCAUCUGGGAAAGCAUAAUAUAAGUGUAAGCCAUUAUAAUUUAUUGCUUCUCAAAUGUUAUAUAAGAUAUUCAACUGGAUAUGUUAUUAAUAAAAAAUUAUAAUAAAGAGAAAUUUAGAAUGAGAAAACAUUUGGAAUUCUUCAUUACUUGAUAUGAAUAGUCUAUAAUCUUUUUAAGUCAUUCUGGCUUUAUGAGGCACUUUGUCUAUUGAGAUAGAUGGAGCAUCUAGAAAGGAAAAACUUUGACAUGCAUUUUGAGGCUCUUUUGAAGCAAAAGAAGAACAGAAAGUCUUUUGAGGUUUUUGGAUGUACUAGAUUGAACCAUAUGUAAUUACUGAGACAAUAUUUUUUGUUCUCCAAAAUGACAUUCCAUAUGAUUCACUGUAGUUUGUACUUUAAAAAUUGUUUCCUUGAUUUGCCUUUUUGUUCAUUGAGAAAAAAUUAUCGAGCCAACCUGAUAUUGUGUCAUAAAGAAUUUGUAUUAGUUGUAAGAAAUAACAACUUACUUUUGUAUUUGUUUUUUUCUUUUUCUAUUUGGU